rnacentral:rRNA from 1 species
GACGAACGCUGGCGGCGUGCUUAACACAUGCAAGUCGAACGGAAAGGCCCUGCUUUUGUGGGGUGCUCGAGUGGCGAACGGGUGAGUAACACGUGAGUAACCUGCCCUUGACUUUGGGAUAACUUCAGGAAACUGGGGCUAAUAACGGAUAGGAGCUCCUGCUGCAUGGUGGGGGUUGGAUAGUUUCGGCGGUUGGGGAUGGACUCGCGGCUUAUCAGCUUGUUGGUGGGGUAGUGGCUUACCAAGGCUUUGACGGGUAGCCGGCCUGAGAGGGUGACCGGCCACAUUGGGACUGAGAUACGGCCCAGACUCCUACGGGAGGCAGCAGUGGGGAAUAUUGCACAAUGGGCGGAAGCCUGAUGCAGCAACGCCGCGUGCGGGAUGACGGCCUUCGGGUUGGAAACCGCUUUCGCCUGUGACGAAGCGUGAGUGACGGUAAUGGGUAAAGAAGCACCGGCUAACUACGUG